UGUAAGAAGGGACAGAAAACGAUGGCAGUUGUUUUAAAGAUUCUGGGUUUUUGUUUUCCUUGUUUUCCAACACAAACUGCCAGCCAUGGUCUACCAGGAUCUUUUCCGAAAUACUACCUGUAACUUGAGGGACCUGCAGCUGAUUCGUGAGCUGCUCCUUGCUCCAGCAAUGCACUGCUCGGGGGAAGAGACCUGUGAGGUGCUGUGAGCUGGGAGGGAUCCAACUGCUGGAGGAGAGAGCCGACUUGCAUCACCACGAAAACACUGAGC